CGAACCUGAGAUAACUGGAAAGUGGAAAAUGCAUCCUGUCUGGAUUCACAUUGUGAUAUCUCGUUCAUCACCACCACUAGGAAAUUAUUCAUUUCCAUCGCUUCUUUCACCAACAGCUCACAAAUGCCAGUAUAAUACUCCGAGGGUGUCACCACAGUUGAUGCAUGACUUCUACAACAAUCAACCACCAUCUCCACCCAUUGUGGACCAUUGUGCGUAUAUUUACCAAAGCCGGCCAAAUCGCGCAUCAAUGAUUCUAGAUCACUGCCAACUUGACGUUUUAAAAACUCUUUAGGCCCGCCAUUCUCUAAACAAGUGGUUAAAACUUUGCUUAGAUGUUUCAUUUGCUUUGUUAAACUUUCAUGGCUUUCUUGUGCGAGGUUUUUACGUGAAUUACUGCUAGGAAUGAACAGAAUCUUCCCAUCUCGUCGCAGGUAAAUCGUCUCGACUGCAAAUGUUACUUCACAACAGCUCAACACGAUUGCAUCGCUGGCAGUAUUCCCCGGAUAAUUCAAUAAACUUUGACCUACUCCAAAGCACAAAGCCCAAACCUGCUCUUCCUCUAAAGGUUUGGAAACACAAUCUAACAGCUGAGAUAGCAACAAUCCGUACUUGUGUUUAGGCAUUGCUAGACUAAGUUUAAACACACAAAACGUUUUCCUGCAUACAGCAUGGUUAUUCUGAUCUGCAUCCACCUUAUUUAUGCCUUUUAUACCGGAUUGAACGCCUUUUACUCGGUUUUAGGAAUACAAAAGUAAACUGCACCUUUGGGGUUUGCAAAGACAAUGUAGGAACU